GGAAGGUCAUAAAGGAACACAAAAAGGGACAGUUAACUCAACCUGCGUGCGGGAAUUCACCAGAGUCUGGAAGAUUUAUGUUGAGCCAGAAAAUGGGGGAAGAUGGACUUUGACAUUUUCACUGUUCAGGGAUGUAUGGUCCCCACAAGCCAGACAACAGCUCUGCUCAUGGACUGAGUAGCAGUGGCGGGGGUAUCCAGUCUUCUUAGGGUCACCAUGCAUCUAUCUGAUGUUUGGCUAGCUCUUGGGGUCCUUCAAGGAAACAAGGCUGGUAUCCUCACUACUGAAA